rnacentral:rRNA from 1 species
GCAAGUCGAACGAUGAACUUGGAGCUUGCUCUGGGGGAUUAGUGGCGAACGGGUGAGUAACACGUGAGUAACCUGCCCUGGACUCUGGGAUAACCCCGAGAAAUCGGAGCUAAUACCGGAUAGGACCUGGAACCGCAUGGUUUUGGGUGGAAAGUUUUUUCGGUCUGGGAUGGACUCGCGGCCUAUCAGCUUGUUGGUGAGGUAAUGGCUCACCAAGGCGUCGACGGGUAGCCGGCCUGAGAGGGUGACCGGCCACACUGGGACUGAGACACGGCCCAGACUCCUACGGGAGGCAGCAGUGGGGAAUAUUGCACAAUGGGCGAAAGCCUGAUGCAGCAACGCCGCGUGAGGGAUGACGGCCUUCGGGUUGUAAACCUCUUUUAGUAGGGAAGAAGGGCUUCGGCUUGACGGUACCUGCAGAAAAAGCACCGGCUAACUACGUGCCAGCAGCCGCGGUAAUACGUAGGGUGCGAGCGUUGUCCGGAAUUAUUGGGCGUAAAGAGCUCGUAGGCGGUUUGUCACGUCUGCUGUGAAAUCCCGAGGCUCAACCUCGGGCCUGCAGUGGGUACGGGCAGACUGGAGUGCGGUAGGGGAGAUUGGAAUUCCUGGUGUAGCGGUGGAAUGCGCAGAUAUCAGGAGGAACACCGAUGGCGAAGGCAGAUCUCUGGGCCGUAACUGACGCUGAUGAGCGAAAGCGUGGGGAGCGAACAGGAUUAGAUACCCUGGUAGUCCACGCCGUAAACGUUGGGCGCUAGAUGUGGGGGACCAUUCCACGGUUUCCGU